CCAGAUUUCACCAUGUUGGAAGAAAGUAUUUCUAACAUCAUAGGCUUCAGAGGGACUGCAACCAAAGAGAAACAGAGCACAUAUUUAAUAAUUCUGGAUAGAAGACCAUGCUCCUGACAGUGGCUGUUGGCGAAUGAUGAGUGCAGAAAAUGAACAAAAAGGAACCCGACACAUUUCAUUGUCUGCAAACUCCCAAGAACCUCUAAGAUCAUGGACAGAAUUGUUCCUACAUUUUUGCCUUUAAUAGGAAAAAUAAAAGAAUAGGGGAUAAAGGUAGCCAAAAGAGUUUUAAAAAGUAUAUUUCAUUUGGAAGAGUGGCAUCCUGGCAAGAACAAGCACAUUAAGCUUCAGGGCAUUGUUAAGUAGAAUAAAUGUUUGGGCCAAAGGCAAUGUAUAAAUGACAGCGCUGGAAAUUUCGUUUUUCCCUUGGAAAAGAGGUUUUUUUCAGAGAGCAAUAUAAUUGGCAAGUUUAAAUACAUUUUACAUAGAGUAGGAUGGGUUUGUCCAUUUAUUCUGGAAACUACACAGUAAUAUUUCAAUCUCAGCCCUCUUUCUUGCUGAGCAAGUAUGAGCUGAGUACAUCUCUAAGGUGUAAGAGUUACAGCACAGUUGCUCUCCCUCAGACUGUGAAGCAGUGUCUGUAAUUCAUAUCUACAUUUUUAUACUCUACAUUCUCCUCUAUAUUAUUCUGAUACUUUUACUCAUCAAUGUGGCACAUGAAAGACCAUCAAAGAUGUGGAAUAAUUACCUGCAGUAAUCUGUUUGAGUA